CCUACGGGCGGCAGCAGUGAGGAAUAUUGGUCAAUGGGCGAGAGUCUGAACCAGCCAAGUAGCGUGAAGGAUGACUGCCCUAUGGGUUGUAAACUUCUUUUAUAUGGGAAUAAAAUGUUCCACGUGUGGGAUUUUGUAUGUACCAUACGACUAAGGAUCGGCUAACUCCGUGCCAGCAGCCGCGGUAAUACGGAGGAUCCGAGCGUUAUCCGGAUUUAUUGGGUUUUAAGGGAGCGUAGGUGGAUUGUUAAGUCAGUUGGGAAAGUUUGUGGCUCAACCGUAAAAUUGCAGUUGAAUCUGGCAGUAUUGAGUACAGUAGAGGUAGGCGGAAUUCGUGGUGUAGCGGUGAAAUGCUUAGAUAUCACGAAGAACUCCGAUUGCGAAGGCAGCUCGCUGGACUGCAACUGACACUGAGGCUCGAAAGUGUGGGUAUCAAACAGGAUUAGAUACCCUUGUAGUC
rnacentral:rRNA from 1 species